GAUGAACGCUGGCGGCGUGCUUAACACAUGCAAGUCGAACGGUGAAGGCGGAGCUUGCUCUGCUGGAUCAGUGGCGAACGGGUGAGUAACACGUGAGCAAUCUGCCCCUGACUCUGGGAUAAGCGCUGGAAACGGCGUCUAAUACUGGAUACGAGCUGCGAAGGCAUCUUCAGCAGCUGGAAAGAACUUCUGUCAGGGAUGAGCGCGCGGCCUAUCAGCUUGUUGGUGAGGUAACGGCUCACCAAGGCGUCGACGGGUAGCCGGCCGGAGAGGGUGACCGACCACACUGGGACUGAGACACGGCCCAGACUCCUACGGGAGGCAGCAGUGGGGAAUAUUGCACAAUGGGCGAAAGCCUGAUGCAGCAACGCCGCGUGAGGGACGACGGCCUUCGGGUUGUAAACCUCUUUUAGCAGGGAAGAAGCGAAAGUGACGGUACCUGCAGAAAAAGCGCCGGCUAACUACGU
rnacentral:rRNA from 1 species